rnacentral:rRNA from 1 species
UACAGAGGUCUCAAGCGUUGUUCGGAUUCAUUGGGCGUAAAGGGUGUGUAGGUGGCGCGCUAAGUCGGGUGUGAAAUUUCGGAGCUUAACUCCGAAACUGCAUUCGAUACUGGCGAUCUUGAGUCCGGGAGAGGUGAGUGGAACUGCGAGUGUAGAGGUGAAAUUCGUAGAUAUUCGCAAGAACACCAGUGGCGAAGGCGGCUCACUGGCCCGAUACUGACGCUGAGGCACGAAAGCGUGGGGAGCAAACAGG